UACGUAGGGCGCAAGCGUUAUCCGGAAUUAUUGGGCGUAAAGAGCUUGUAGGCGGUUUGUCGCGUCUGCUGUGAAAAUCCGGGGCUCAACCCCGGACUUGCAGUGGGUACGGGCAGACUAGAGUGUGGUAGGGGAGACUGGAAUUCCUGGUGUAGCGGUGAAAUGCGCAGAUAUCAGGAGGAACACCGAUGGCGAAGGCAGGUCUCUGGGCCACUACUGACGCUGAGACACGAAAGCGUGGGUAGCAAACAGG
rnacentral:rRNA from 1 species